CAGUCGCCACGGUAAUACGUAGGGUGCAAGCGUUAGUCGGAAUUACUGGGCGUAAAGCGUGCGCAGGCGGUUCGUUAAGACUGAUGUGAAAUCCCCGGGCUUAACCUGGGAACUGCAUUUGUGACUGGCGGGCUAGAGUAUAGCAGAGGGGGGUAGAAUUCCACGUGUAGCGGUGAAAUGCGUAGAGAUGUGGCGGAACACCGAUGGCGAAGGCAGCCCCCUGGGCCAAUACUGACGCUCAUGCACGAAAGCGUGGGGAGCAAACAGGAUUAGAUACCCCCGUAGUCCCUGUCUCUUAUAC
rnacentral:rRNA from 1 species